rnacentral:rRNA from 1 species
AUGGGAUCCGUGGUGGGCACGGCGGCGAGCGGCGUGGGCACGCUGCUCGGCGGCGCCGUCGCCGCGCCCUUCAGGGCCAUCCUCGGCGCGUCCUGCGAGGGCGUCUGCUCGGGGACGUGGGACGUUGCCUGCUUCCUGGAGCACCUCUGCGCCGCCAGCCUGGCCAGGCUCUUCAUGGUCAUCGUCCUCACCUACGUCGUGCUCUUCUUCGCCUACCUCGUCUGCAAAGCCGGGAUCGUCCGCUGCGUCGCCAAGAACGCCUGCAAGGUCGCCGGCGCCGCGUGCUCCGGCUGCUGCCACGCACUGAAGGGAUCCUCGUGCUUCCUCUGGCGCAAGCUGCGGGACACCAAGCGCGUGUACCAUGGCCGCCGCCGCCGGCGGCAUCCGGACGUGGAGACGGGAGCGGGAGAUUGGGGCUCCGACGAGGAGGAGAGCGACGGCGAUGGUGGCCACGGUCAUGGUACAAGGAGGUGGGGCAGAGCUAGAGAGGGGUCGUCGUCGUCGUCGGUGAGGGAGAGGAGGAAGGACAGGCUGCGCCGGUCGCUGCGCCUCAGGAGACUCGUCUCGCACAAGGAGCAGUAUGCUACGGCGAGGAGCCAUGGGGCCGGAAGGCACCACCGCGGCAGGGGCGGGGUGCCGUCCACGUCGCUGCGUGUUGACGACGGGAGGAAGUUUAAGCGCGUCCGUAGAUAA